UUAGCCAACGUAAGCAGCAUGGGGAUCUAAAUUACCCAGCGUGAUUCAGACGUCAGCUCACACUGACACACAGUGGAAGGCAUGGAAAUCUAAAUCUCCUGGUCGUUGUGUGGCAUCAAGCAUCAACAUCGACUCCGAGGCAGAAGAAGAGCAAGAAAAAUCGCAAGAUGAGUCCAAUGCUGGAAGGAACCUGUAGUGUCUCCUCCCAGUCAUCUGAAGGGAGCUGUGGGCGUGUUGUAGCUCUGGAAGAGAGGCUGCAUGAAGAGUCCCAGAGUUCCCACCACACACACCAGGAUGAAGAUCCAGA